rnacentral:rRNA from 1 species
AAAUUGAAGAGUUUGAUCAUGGCUCAGAUUGAACGCUGGCGGCAGGCCUAACACAUGCAAGUCGAGCGGUAGCACAGAGAGCUUGCUCUCGGGUGACGAGCGGCGGACGGG